CAGCAGCCGCGGUAAUACAGAGGGUGCGAGCGUUAAUCGGAUUUACUGGGCGUAAAGCGUGCGUAGGCGGCUUCUUAAGUCGGAUGUGAAAUCCCUGAGCUUAACUUAGGAAUUGGAUUCGAUACUGGGAAGCUAGAGUAUGGGAGAGGAUGGUAGAAUUCCAGGUGUAGCGGUGAAAUGCGUAGAGAUCUGGAGGAAUACCGAUGGCGAAGGCAGCCAUCUGGCCUAAUACUGACGCUGAGGUACGAAAGCAUGGGGAGCAAACAGGAUUAGAUACCCCAGUAGUCCCUGUCUCUUAUAC
rnacentral:rRNA from 1 species